UACGGAGGGUGCGAGCGUUAAUCGGAAUUACUGGGCGUAAAGCGCGCGUAGGCGGUCAGGCAAGUCGGGUGUGAAAGCCCUGGGCUCAACCUGGGAAUUGCAUUCGAAACUAUCUGACUCGAGUAUGGGAGAGGGAAGCGGAAUUUCCGGUGUAGCGGUGAAAUGCGUAGAUAUCGGAAGGAACACCAGUGGCGAAGGCGGCUUCCUGGACUAAUACUGACGCUGAGGUGCGAAAGCCAGGGGAGCGAACGGG
rnacentral:rRNA from 1 species